AUUGAACGCUGGCGGAAUGCUUUACACAUGCAAGUCGAACGGCAGCACGGGGCAACCUGGUGGCGAGUGGCGAACGGGUGAGUAAUACAUCGGAACGUGCCCAAUCGUGGGGGAUAACGUAGCGAAAGUUACGCUAAUACCGCAUACGAUCUACGGAUGAAAGCGGGGGAUCGCAAGACCUCGCGCGAAUGGAGCGGCCGAUGUCAGAUUAGGUAGUUGGUGGGGUAAAGGCUCACCAAGCCAACGAUCUGUAGCUGGUCUGAGAGGACGACCAGCCACACUGGAACUGAGACACGGUCCAGACUCCUACGGGAGGCAGCAGUGGGGAAUUUUGGACAAUGGGCGCAAGCCUGAUCCAGCCAUUCCGCGUGCAGGAUGAAGGCCUUCGGUUGUAACUAGCUUUGUACGGUAACGAAACGGACGAGCUCUAAUACAGUUUGCUAAUGACGGUACCGGU
rnacentral:rRNA from 1 species